CCGAAUCCGAAGCCGAAAUUUGCCUUCUUCUUAACUCUUUAAGAGCUAGAAGAAGAGCAAUUGUAUAUAUAUCCAUCAAAACGUUUUCCUUUUCCAAUAUGGGACAUUGUCCCUUGGUCAAACAGGGAAACUCAAAUAUUUUCAAUUUCCUUGCAUGUCCCAUUCACCUUGUUUUAAGCUACAUUUAAGCUUAAAAACCCAUCACUUGGAAUAUUCAUUGUUUUUGAACUUCUUUAGUUCAUUGAAAGGUUUUUAAGUUUUUAAAAUAUUGAAAUAAAAUGCCAUCUAAACGUCCCAACUAAAAAGAAUAACUUUAUACAUUCCUUUGCAAGCAGUUUGAGAUUUGUUUCUGUUCACAAAGUUUAGAAGAAAUAUGGUGUUAGAUUGUACACUGAAAAACCAGCUAUAGCUUAUUAGCUUAAGCUUACGGAGCUCUUAUACCCAGUUAACUUGCCUGACAAAAAGUCCUUUGAAAUUGCAUGUCGUUGCUCUUUAUGUUUUGCUUACAGUUAUAAGGUGAGUUUUGGUUUCUUUUUUUCCUGUUCGAAAUUUCUGCUGGGUAGAAAUUUUUCGAAUUGGGUAAAUUGUUGGUUCGAACGGUUUGUGGAACUAUAUACAGUUUUAUUUUCAUUGGCCUUGCUCCAUCAUCUUUGUAAUUUGUUUUUACUGUAAUAAGCUUAUGGGUUUUGUUAAGGCUAAUCAAUACUUUCUAGCUUUUUCUCCUUUUAAUAGCUCUGUUUGAUUUAGUAGUUCACAUUAAUUCUUUGCAAAGUUUGGUGGCAUAGUACAUGCUUAAAAUGGUUUUAAAGUUCUUGUGAAACAUCACGUUCCUUAUCUUGAUGAAGCACACGGUAGUCUCCCUCUUAUUUUAUUUGUGCGCUUCUGCUUACAAAUUUAAUCUUCAUACAUCUCACUUCUGCACAUUUACCAGUGGUUUUACUAUUUUAAUAGUUCGCCUAACAGUGUUGUCAAGCUUGCUAUUGUUAUUGUUUUGGCACUGAAGCUCCUUCAGGUAACGAGUUCGACCACCUGGGGUGCAUAGCAAAACGAAGUAGGAAACUAAAUAGAAAAUCAUGCUUGGAUAAAUCUAUAAAAUUGGACUACGUCUAAAAAGAAUUUAAAGAGUGUAACGCAAGUCCUUUAUAUACAGUUGUAUGCACUUAGUUCCCAUGUCAAUUACAUGUCAAAAGAGUAGAAACUAUUGUAUCAGAGAAUCUAGGAUACUCAUUGAAAAUCUUCCGAUGUAGGAAAUUUUUUCUCCAAAAGAAGAAUGUAUUUGUAUCGGUAUGAUUUUGUCCUUUUCAAUCUUUGUUUAAAGAUUUGUCUACAUUAAAUUCAUUGUGCUUUAUUAGGAUCCUGUUAUUCAUCCCUUGGGUGAGCGAGACUCACAAAGCUAGGAGCAAUUACUUUAUGAAACUCCCGUUUGGUUAAAUAUCCGGAUUAUGACCGUGUAUGUAUUCAGUUACAUGUUUAACCUGUCUUUAAAUUUGCUUAGUUCUGUAUAUAUAAUUGUUUUCUUUAUGUGUUACUGAAGGUGAACUGGCUCAAUAAAUUUCUCUGAGCACAUAUGGCCUUAUUUGGAUAAGCCAAUAAGACUAUUUGCAGGGCUGCAGAAAAUGUUGUUGCACCUAUAAUUGCAGGGAAAAUUCCAAAGCAUAAAAUUAACUCUAUUGAAUUUGAGACACCGAUUUUGGGGUCCUUACAACCUAAUUUCUAAGAUAAACAAUUGCUUAUAAUUGCAUCCGCAGAUGCCAACAUGCUUCAGGUGGACAUUGAUAAUUUGAGGAUAUCACAAUAAGAUGGUUGCAUAUUUUGGCUUUCGAUAUGUCAAUUCAAGCUAUAUUGCUGCUCUCUAGCAAGCAUGAGUAUUUUUUCCUUAGCUGCAAGUCUGAGCUACUGCCAGUUGAAGACAUGUUACAUAAAUACAAUAUGUGAGAUGCACUAUUGGUAUGUAUAUAUU